rnacentral:rRNA from 1 species
CCCCCCAAUUUUUUUUUUUAAACACAUGAGGAAUCAGGAAUGUAAACACUUUUGUUAUUUUUAAAAUAACUUUUAACAAUGGAUCUCUAGGCUCUCAUAUCGAUGAAGAACACAGUGAAAUGUGAUAAGUAAUGUGAAUUGCAGAAUUCAGUGAAUCAUUAAAUCUUUGAACGCAUCUUGCACCUUUUGGUAUUCCAAAAGGUACACCUGUUUGAGUGUCAUGAAAAUCUCUCACCAAAUUAAUUUUUGGUGGAUAUUGAGUGCUGCUGCUAUCUAGCUCACUUUAAAUAUAUAAGUUCAAAUUAUUUAUUAUUUUGGAUUGACUUGAUGUGAUAUAUAUAUUUUCAUCAAGGAAAGUCAGCAUGACUUGCCAAUAAGAUAAAAAAUAAGGACUACUAAAUAGUAUGAAUUUUCUUUUAAAGACCUCAAAUCAGUGAAC